CGAGGGGUGGGGUCUGCUCCCUAGGUCUAGCAGCCAAGUCGAGCACACAAACUCCACAAAGGGAGGGAAUUGUGUCCCAACGGCUCUAUUUGCACAGCCUCUCUAUGUUGGCAGAAGAUCCGCUCACCUCCUGGCUAGCCUGCAAACAGGGCCUCAUGCCAACAAGGCCUAAGACUACUACAACUGAUAGACAACACAUUGAACUGCAGGUCAGUGAGCCUGGUGCCUCUGCUUUUGACCAGCAAAUAGAAGAGUGGCAUACAGCAAACAACCAGCAAGGGGGUACCUCUGAGAGGACUCACCUGAGCAGCUCACAGCGGUUGGGGUCUUCCUCGUCGUAGAUGGUGAGCUUGAGGAUGCGGCUCAGGUGCAGAGGGAGCCAGCACAGAGCGAACACCAGCACCAGGCAGAACACCGUCUUGGCCACCUCCCGUCUCUGUGGACACACUCUCCAUUAGCACGCAACCAACCCUG